UCCAAUCGAACUCGGAGAUAGCUGGUUCUCCCCGAAAUAGCUUUAGGGCUAGCGUCGGAUAUGUGUAGUGGAGGUAGAGCACUGAAUGGGCUAGGGGGCAUAUCGCUUACCGAACCUUAUCAAACUCCGAAUGCCAUAUACAUUUAGUCCGGCAGUCAGACUACGAAUGAUAAGAUCCGUGGUCAAAAGGGAAACAGCCCAGAUCGUCAGCUAAGGUCCCAAAGUGUAAGUUAAGUGGAAAAGGAUGUGGGAUUUCUAAGACAACUAGGAUGUUGGCUUAGAAGCAGCCACUCAUUUAAAGAGUGCGUAAUAGCUCACUAGUCGAGAGAUCCUGCGCCGAAAAUGUCCGGGGCUAAAACUUACCACCGAAGCUACGGGCUUGCGUAAGCAAGCGGUAGGGGAGCGUCGUAAUCGGGCUGAAGUCGUACCGUAAGGAGCGGUGGACUGAUUACGAGUGAGAAUGUUGGCAUUAGUAGCGAGAUGUAGGUGAGAAUCCUACAGGCCGAAUAUCUAAGGUUUCCUCAGGAAGGCUCGUCCGCUGAGGGUUAGUCGGGACCUAAGCCGAGGCCGAAAGGCGUAGGCGAUGGACAACAGGUUGAUAUUCCUGUACCACUACCAUCGUUAUUAUCGAGGGUGUGACGGAGAAGGAUAGUGUGUGCUAGCGAUUGGAAAUGCUAGUCUAAGCGUUUAGGCAGUUACGGUAGGCAAAUCCGCUGUAACGUUAAUGCUGAGGCGUGAUGGGGAAGGCCCUUGAGGCUGAAGUACAUGAUUCCAUGCUUCCAAGAAAAGCAUCUAGAGAGAGAAGUAGUGCCCGUACCGCAAACCGACACAGGUAGAUGAGGAGAGAAUCCUAAGGCCGGCGGAAGAAUUGCAGUUAAGGAACUAGGCAAAUUGACCCCGUAAGUUAGCGAGAAGGGGUGCCUGCGAGAGCAGGCCGCAGAGAAUAGGCCCAAGCAACUGUUUAGCAAAAACACAGGUCUCUGCUAAAGCGCAAGCUGAUGUAUAGGGGCUGACGCCUGCCCGGUGCUGGAAGGUUAAGGGGAACACUUAGCGCAAGCGAAGGUGUGAACUUAAGCCCCAGUAAACGGCGGCCGUAACUAUAACGGUCCUAAGGUAGCGAAAUUCCUUGUCAGGUAAGUUCUGACCCGCACGAAUGGCGUAAUGACUUGGGCACUGUCUCAACUGCAAAUCCGGCGAAGUUGUAGUGCGAGUGAAGAUGCUCGCUACCCGCGAUUGGACGGAAAGACCCCGUAGAGCUUUACUGUAGCUUAGCAUUGAAUUCCGGUAUUGUCUGUACAGGAUAGGUGGGAGACUGGGAAACUAGGGCGUCAGCCUUAGUGGAGUCGUCCUUGGGAUACCACCCUGACAGUACUGGGGUUCUAACAGGACGCCAUGAAUCUGGUGACUGGACAUUGUUAGGUGGGCAGUUUGACUGGGGCGGUCGCCUCCUAAAAAGUAACGGAGGCGCCCAAAGGUUCCCUCAGAACGGUCGGAAAUCGUUCGUAGAGUGCAAAGGCAGAAGGGAGCCUGACUGCGAGACCUACAAGUCGAGCAGGGACGAAAGUCGGGCUUAGUGAUCCGGUGGUACCUCGUGGGAGGGCCAUCGCUCAACGGAUAAAAGCUACCUCGGGGAUAACAGGCUGAUCUCCCCCAAGAGUCCACAUCGACGGGGAGGUUUGGCACCUCGAUGUCGGCUCAUCGCAUCCUGGGGCUGUAGUAGGUCCCAAGGGUUGGGCUGUUCGCCCAUUAAAGCGGCACGCGAGCUGGGUUCAGAACGUCGUGAGACAGUUCGGUCCCUAUCCGUCGCGGGCGUAGGAAAUUUGAGAGGAGCUGUCCUUAGUACGAGAGGACCGGGAUGGACUGACCUCUGGUGCACCAGUUGUUCUGCCAAGAGCAUGGCUGGGUAGCUAAGUCGGGAAGGGAUAAACGCUGAAAGCAUCUAAGCGUGAAGCCUCCCUCAAGAUGAGAUUUCCCAUAGCAUAAGCUAGUAAGACCCCUUGAAGAACACGAGGUUGAUAGGUCAGAGGUGUAAGUGUGGUAACAUAUUUAGCUGACUGAUACUAAUAGGUCGAGGGCUUGACCAA
rnacentral:rRNA from 1 species